rnacentral:lncRNA from 1 species
AGUCAUGAUGUCUUUGUAUUUUGUCAGCCGUGCCCUCUCAAUUUUCCUUCCGGGACUCCUGGAAUGAUAAAAAGGUUAGAUCUUUUGUUAUUAUCCCACAAGUCCUUAAAACUAUGUUGAUGUAGGGGUUGGGAGUUAUUUGGGGGUUUUCCUUUUUUAAUUUUUUGGUCUAUUUUUUCUCUGUGGUUCCAAUGAAUAAUUUCUGCUGUUCUAUCCUAAAGUUCACGGAUUCUUUCCUCAGUCCUCUCUAUGCUGCUGUUUGAGGUUUUUCUGGCAGUUACUGCAUACUUUAGUUCUAAAAUGUCCAGUUGGUUUUUUUUUUUUCCAUUUCUUUACCAAGAUUUUCUUUUUCUUUUCUGAAAUUUCCCAUUUUUUUUUCAUUUGUUUUGAGCAUGUUUUUAAUACUUGUUGAAGUUUCAAAAAAUGCCCGCUUUAAUAACCUGUCAGAUAUUUCCAACAUGUCAUCUCAAUGUUUGUAUUUAAUUGACUUUUAAAUCCACUAUUUUAAAUUCAUGGUGCGGUUUUCCUAUUUUGCAGUAUGGUACAUGAUUUUUUUUUUUUUUUUUAAACUAACCCAUGGACAUUUGGGGUAUGAAGUUGAUGAGAGUCUGGAUUUCAUACAAACCUCAUUCAUUUGUCUUUCUCUGACGCUGCAGGAGAAGAAGGAGUUGAUCCUCUGUUAAUGACUGGUAGAGAUAGACGAUGCUUGUAAGGGAUGUGAAUGGGCAGUCAAGAACGCUCUGGCCCAAGGAUUAGGGGUUACAGUUUUAUAGUCCAAGGAAAAUAGGGAGGAGGAGACGACUGCCUGCCGCCUUCCUCAAACUUCAAGUAGACAUCAGGCUUAGACCACUAGCUUCUCCUUUUUAUUGGUAAGUGGUAUUUGUCCCUAGGGGGUCCAACUAGGACUCUUAUGGUGUUUAUUCAAAUCAGCAAAAGGGUGGUAAUGUAUGCUAAAGUAUGUUGAAUAAUCUCGGAUUUACCUAUAAUGAAGGGAUUAUGGGAAUGUCAUCUUUCCCUUAAAUUCCUGUCCUUGGUCUUAAGGAUUAUUAUCUUAUUUGAAUGCAGGCCUCAUUUUAUUUUUCACUUAAUGACUGAGGCAUACCUCGUGCUUUUAUUUGUGCUUACAUAUUUAUUUGUUUAUAGUUACACAAACAUGCUUCAUUCCAUUUUGAUGGCUUUCUUAAGUGAUUAUUAAUUUACAGUAUUGUCCCAGAUUUUCCUAGGUUUCCCUCUCUAGCUCUGGUCCCAUCCUGGGACUUUUACAUCUACCUGUGUAACUAUCCUACUCCUUCCCUAUCACUACCUGGGAGAGUUAGGAGUGCUUUCUUUCUACCCAAUGGGGGUAGGAAUUGUGACCUUCAGUGACAUUGGCACGAAAGAGUGGCCUUGUUAUUACUGAGUUUUGGAGAAAGUCCUAAUUCUUCUCUAAUCCUCAUCUGGUAGGGAGGAGAAGGAGUCAGUAUAGGUGAUAGUUAAAGAGCACAUCCCCACAUGGGCUCCAUUGACAGUGUGGGAAGGAGCCUCUCUCACUGCUCGAUGGUAAUGAAAGUCUUAGCUACCAAUGUGGGCUUCUCUGGCACCACCUGGGAGAGUUGCAGAACCUUGGUACAGCCUGGAAACAACCUCUUCUGAACCUUUGCUGAUGUGGGGGGCAGAGCUGGAGCCAUAGUUUUUUCUCUGAUGCUUGGCUGGAGUAGAGCAGUUAUUUAUAUGGUUUAAAAUAUUUCUCUCUUGCUAAGCUGCCCACUUCCUGGUCUUUUAACUGAAGAAAACAGACUUUUGUUGGAGUUAUUUUUGUCUGCCCCAUUUGUAUUUUCAGGUUGCCACUUUUCCAGCAUGCAGUCUGGGAUAUAUGAGGCUGAAAGAAAAUCCAUGCUUUAACAUGAUGCUUUUUUCCCCUGGUCCCAAGAUCUCUAGUGGGUCUGCCUUUUCCCUCUACCUCUGAAAUUCCUAUGUCUGUUUUGGAUGUAAUAACCAGGGUUUCUAGUUCUAAUUAGUGUAAGGUACAUGAAGAAAAAAAAUCUAUUCCAUCUGCCUGGAAGUAGAAAUCCAAAAAUAAAUUUAUUUCAUAUAUUCAAAUUUAUAACUUUUAUUUUUAUUACAAAUUUUAUCAGUGAGAACAGCGAGACCAUUUGAUGGAAGUCUCAGAUGAUCUUCAGCAUCCUAUUUAUUGUGGUAGUGUUUUUUGCAUUGUACUGAGAAAAUUCUGCCUGACAUAAAUGAGCAGUUACCAUAAUACCCCUUUUUAUUUCUCCUAUGACUCAUAGGCCACAUCUCACCCACAGCCUGUUUUGGUAAGCAGAGUUGUAUUGGAUCAUAGUCACAACGAUUUAUUAACAUGUUCUGUGUGGCUACUUGUGCAGUUCAGUGGCAGAGCUGAAUAGUUGUGACAGGAACGUUAUGGUGCACAACACUGAAAAUAUUCGCUGUCUUUAUCUUUAGAGAAAAAGUGUGCCAGCCCCUGCUUGAAAUGUUUGACUUUAACUUCUUAUGACACUAGAGUGUUAAUCCAACCCAAAAUUUAGAAUGAGGAAGAGUGGAGUAUUUUUAUCUCAAAGAUAAAUUACUAUUCUCAACAAUUCAUUAUUUCAGCCAAUAAAGGAGUCUUUAGCCAUUUAAAUAUUCAUUCAUGAUGAAAAAUAUUUGCAAAUUGUUUUUUGUUAAUGUGGCACAUCAUUCAGUAUUAACCAACUAAAGAAAAUAAUAGAUGUCUCAGUAGGAGAGCCACAAUUUCUAUAAGCCCAUUCAUUAAAAUGGGGUGAAUAUAAAAAUUUUAAUUUAGGGAAUUGCUUAUACCUUUUAAUCUCAGUGGAAGCACUGUAGUACUCAGACUCUGCAUUACCCAGUAGACUUUUUCUGAGCAACAUGCUUAUCAGUGCAGUUCUGCCACAGGUGAAACAUAGGAGAAAAGUGAAAUAAGAAAGCCAUAGGAAUAAGUGCACAACUUUUUUUCUAAGACUGUAUUGGAAAUUUGAGGAGGAGUUAGGGAAUUGUAAUGGCUAGAAAGAGUGAAGGAGGAGGAGAUUGUUACAAGAUGAGUUCAGAUCAAUGGCCAUGGGCCUGGAAAUGUCAGACCUCAUUUACCAUGUAAAACCUUAGCUUGUACAAUGAGGGAACUAAACAGACAUUGGAGGGUUUGGGGCAAAGGAAUUGCAUGAGUCCACUGAAGUUUUGAAAGAGAUAUUUGAAGUGAUAAGUGGAGAAUGGGCUAAAAGAAAGUUAAAAAAUAAGGGAAAUGCCAUUUGAAGAGCUAGUGCAAUAGUUCAAGCAAGAGAUAAAGAUUAUCUGGGCAGGGGGGAGGUUGCAUGAUAAAAAUUUUGACUGGCCUUAGUCCCUGGUUCCUGGGUGUUAGCCUCUGAACCCUCUGGAUUUCUUGAGUGAUGGAAAUGUCUGUUUUCAUGUUGGUCCCUGAUAAUUUAUGCUAACCAAUGAGCUCCUAGGAGGCUCCAACAUAGUAUAAGCUAGCAAGAUGACCCAGAAUGGUGGCAGUUCAGGCCAGAGAGACCAACCAGGUGACUGAGGAUUGACGCUUUGACCUCUAGGGAGGAGGAAGCUCUGGAGAAUCAUUUGAAUCACAUGGCCAGUAAGUCAGUCAGUUGUGCGUAUAAUGAAACCCCAGUAAAAAAGCUGGACACUAAGGCUUAGAUACAAAGAUGUGUGCAGAGAGAUUUUAUGAAAAGAGAGCAAAUGCCACCUGGGCAUCUUUUGGGUAGGUUAGUAAAAUGCUGUCAUGUUUGGAGAGUCAUAUUUAUUUUUGAUAGUAUGAUACCUUCUUUGUUAGAAGCAAGACAUUAUAUUUGAAAAAUUGUUAGUCAUGAAAAUUAUCAGUGAGUUUAUAGUACUUUUGUAGAUGGAAGAACUUUCCACAAUAUGGUACAUCAAUAUUUGCACUUAGUAAAUACUGGAGUAGUUGCACUGUGAUCCUAGCCACAUUUCUGCACAAUUUGGUACCUUGAACUUUUAAAGCAUAUAUGUUUGCUUUGAUAGGAGAUUAGGUGAAUACUAUACUCCAAUAACUACAUUGUCACUAAAAUUUAGAGAAUUGAGGAUACCACUGACCUGACAAUGCCACAGCUUUAAACAGUUGCAUGUGUAUAUGUCAAAUCACAAAGAACUAUACUUAUAUGAAGUGAUUGGUUAGACGGGAUGUUCAAAUAAGUGCAUUGAGCUUCAAAGGAUCUGUAGAUCUUAAUGUAGACAGAAACUUGGACUUAAUUUAGCCUUCAAAACUUUAGCGGAAGAAUUCUUGUAGGCAUGGGGAUAGCAUUGGAUAAACAAACACUAGGAACUCACUAGUGAUAAAAGGAAUUUUAUAUUUUCAAUGUUAUUUUAAAGUUACUGCUUUAAAAGUUUAGAAUCACCAAUUCAAAGCAGAGGACAAAGUUGUGACAUACACACACACACACACACACACACAAAUUUUAAGCCACUUUAAU